rnacentral:sRNA from 1 species
GCAACUGCUGAAUCCUAUUCAAUAGGUACGGAGGAACCAUAGAGAGGGGUUAAUCCAAUUAUGGUAGGGGGCCUUUUACCCCGAACCCGUCAGCUAACUUCGGAAGCGAAAUGUAGAAAG